GCCCGCCUAGCUCAAUCGGAUAGAGCGUCAGACUCUUACUAGCUGCUAGGCGAUCGUGAUCUGAAGGCUGCGAGUUCGACCCUCGCGGUGGGCU
rnacentral:tRNA from 1 species